rnacentral:rRNA from 1 species
AACGAACGCUGGCGGCAGGCCUAACACAUGCAAGUCGAACGCCCCGCAAGGGGAGUGGCAGACGGGUGAGUAACACGUGGGAACGUGCCCAAAGGUACGGAACAACUCCGGGAAACUGGAGCUAAUACCGUAUGUGCCCGAAAGGGGAAAGAUUGUAUCGCCUUUGGAUCGGCCCGCGUCUGAUUAGCUAGUUGGUGGGGUAAUGGCCUACCGAGGCGACGAUCAGUAGCUGGUCUGAGAGGAUGACCAGCCACACUGGGACUGAGACACGGCCCAGACUCCUACGGGAGGCAGCAGUGGGGAAUAUUGGACAAUGGGCGAAAGCUUGAUCCAGCCAUGCCGCGUGAGUGAUGAAGGCCUUAGGGUUGUAAAGCUCUUUCGCCAGGGACGAUAAUGACGGUACCUGGAUAAGAAGCCCCGGCUAACUUCGUGCCAGCCGCCGCCGUAAGAC